UGUUAAACAACUUUCACUGCAUGCAGGUUGUCCUUUUUCUUACAAAACUGGGGAACUAUAUCCUCAGAUGCCUGCAUUCUUCAGACAGUUCAAGGUUACGUCAGAGAAUUCUGUUCUCCCCCAGGACAGGUGUACCCUCCUCUUCCGCUAUGUGUUUUCAGGGAGUCCCUCAUCAACUAAUAGAUCCAGUCGCUGUUCAAUAUGCACAGGAUGACGGUAUCUUCACCAACAUCUUUCUGGUUCAGAAGAAAACAGACUUUCGACUAGUUAUACUCUCGUUUGUGGUACAACAUUUCAAAAUGAAAGGCAUACAUCUGCUAUGUGAUC